CCGGCCUUGAGUCUCUCGCGCCUAAGCCAAGUCCUUCCCACUAUCACCAUUGGUUCCUGAAAGUCAUAGAGCCAUAAGUAAUUUCAUUUACUUAGUCAUAUGCAAGUCCAUGCAAUGCUCCAUAGUCCUUACACUACUCGGAUCCGCGGAGAGGAUUCGGAGAAGGGAAGAUCGCGCAUAAGUCCGGCCGAUUCUCGGUAGGUCAAUUAAGACCCGCCGGUCCUCCGCCGAGCCGCGUCUCCGCCCCAGCCGAUCCCUUGCCCGGACCGAGGCUUGUGUAGGUUGCACAUGACCCGAUUCUACCCAGCCCAUUAGUCGUUCCUUUCAAGGAAUCCCGACUCAUUUAACGCAUUCUAGAAUCCUUAGACUCGAGGUCUAGGAUUCCUUACCUUCCUUCACGAUGUUCGGUCGAUCCGACCCUUCUUCUUCCUUGCCGGCCACAGUCCGCCUACCGAUUUCCUCCGAUGAUUUAUUCUCCCGAAAGGGAGAGAGUUUAAUGGUGAGUUUCCGGUAUUUUCCGUGUGUUCUGCUGCCUCUAAAGGUCUUGGGCGCCCUCCCUUAUAUAAGGAGCGAAUUGAUGCUUCCCGAAGGAUCACCUCCGUUCCUUGCACCUUUCCGAAGAGUUGCAUCUCUCGGUCCGUAACUGCUCGCCCUUAUCCACCCUUUGGGCGAGCACCCGUUCGACCGUAACCGCCCAAGUAACCGUCCGGGUAACCGCCCAGCUGGUCAGACAGUCGACCAGCUGCCUCGAGCUCAACCGUCACUCGCCCAGCUGCUCGAGCUGGACUGUCACUCAACCCGAGUAACCGUCACUCCUUCCAGCUGAGCUUGAGCUUCGGACGAGCUGACCCAGCUGAUUCCUUUACGAUCCUAGCUUAGCCCGCAUGAUUUCCCUUUGUCCGAGCUUAUGGCCAACUCCUUCCCACUUGUCCGAGACUCCACCUUCUUUUCUCGGACCAAGUCCCAGCCAACGAUCCUAUUGAGGAUCGCGGGCGUUACAAGUCUCCCCUUUGAAUUGGAUUCGACAAAUCGAAUCCAAGUUGAUCUUUACCCAUCUCCUUGAACCACUCCGGAAAAUUGGCCUUCAUCUUAGUCUCGGUUUCCCAAGUGUAUUCUUCACGGCCUCCACAAUUCCACAAGAUUUUUAACAAAUCCAUUGAUUUCCCCCGAGUCCCUUUCUUCAUUUGGUCCAUGAUCCGUACCGGCCAUGCUUCCACCGUCAUGUUCUCCUUUAACCCAGGAGGUACAUCUUCCAUGCUUUCUUCUUGUUCACUUAAGCACUUCCGUAGUUGUGAUACAUGAAAGACAUUGUGAAACGCGUCUAGUUUUGGAGGAAGGUCAAGUUUGUAUGCCACCGCCCCUACUCGUUCGAUCACUUUGUACGGGCCAACGUACCUUGGCCUUAACUUUUUCCUUGAUGUGAAUCGCCCUGCCCCUUUGUAGGUCAUCGCCUUUAAAUACACCAAGUCUCCCACUUGGAAUUCUAAUUCCUUUCGACGCUUGUUGGCGUAACUUUUCUGACGAUCUUGGGCUUCCUUUAACUUGAUUUUUAAGAACUUCAUUUUCUUCGUGGUUUCAUCCACGACCGCAGGUCCGAACAACCGACGUUCGCCCACUGGCGUCCAACACAACGGUGUUCUACCAGCUCGGCCAUACAACGCCUCAUAGGGAGACAUACCAAUACUAGCUUGAAAACUGUUAUUGUACGCAAAUUCUACUAACCUUAGAUAUUUCUCCCAGUUUCCUCCCCAAUCCAAGACGCAUGCCCUCAACAUGUCCUCGAGGGUUUGAAUCGUUCGUUCGGACUGUCCGUCCGUCUGUGGGUGAUAUGCAGUACUUAGAUUCACUCGAGUCCCUAAGACCUUUUGAAAAGGCUUCCAAAAUUUUGACGUGAACCUUGUGUCUCGGUCCGACACUAUACUAACCGGAAUCCCAUGUAAUCGCACGAUCUCGUCUAUGUACUUCUCGGCAAUGAUUUCGGCUGCAUCCUUAUCCGAGAUUGCCAUGAAGUGCGCAGACUUAGUCAAUCGGUCUACUACAACCCAUACCGCAUUGUGUUUGGACUUGAUCCCCGUCGGCAGUCCCGUGACGAAGUCCAUCAUUAUAUGGUCCCACUUCCAUUCCGGUAUAGGUAGGUUUUGUAACAUUCCACUUGGUACUUGAUGCUCUUCCUUGGCUACCCACCUGGCCACAUCUUUCUUCAUUCCUACCCAAUGGUAGUAUCUUUUAAGGUCGCGAUACAUCUUGUUCGACCCAGGAUGGAUCGAGAACUUCGAUUGAUGCGCUUCUUUUAGGAUUUCCUCCUUCAACGCCUUAUCGUUCGGCCCACAUACUCGACCGUUCACCACGAUAGUACCAUUGUUCGAGCUUUGGUACUCGGUUUUAUUGUUUUGUGCCCACCCUUUUAUUUCUUCAUCUCGUUCUUGAGCCGACCGGAUCCUACUAAGUAGGUCGGCUUGAUUGGCGGCUCUCAACCCUAAGGGUUCAACUUCCUUAGACAAAGCAUUCAAAUGCAAUGUCCCCAUCAUGUUAACCAAAUUCACUUGGUUCCUUUCCGCUUCCACUACCGUGCGCAGCCUGCUCAAAGCAUCUACAACUUGGUUGGCCUUGCCCGGAUGGUACGCUAUGUUCAAGUCGUAAUCCGCCACAAGUUUUAUCCACCUUCUUUGCCUUAGAUUUAACUCCGGCUGGGUGAAUAUGUAUUUUAGGCUCUUGUGGUCAGUAAAGAUUUGAACCUUGGCACCAUACAAAUAUGAUCGCCAAAUCUUCAACGCAAAUACUACCGCGGCCAUUUCCAAAUCAUUCGUAGGGUAGUUCUUCUCGUGUUUCCGCAAUUGCCUCGAGGCGUAUGCGAUAACACUCCCCUUUUGGAUCAAUACGCAUCCUAGUCCUACUAUGGAUGCGUCCGUGUAGACCGUAUAGGGCUCACCUUCCUCCGGUAAGACCAACACCGGUGCAUUAGUCAACAUGGCCUUUAACUCCAGGAAGCUUCUCUCGCAUUCCUCCGACCAGUUGAAUGCGGUGUCUUUUCCGGUCAAUUGAGUCAUGGGUUGGGCCAUGCUCGCAAAUCUCUCGACCCAAGUCACUAAGUGAAUGGACCCUAACCAUUUAUGAGGUUCAUUCCCUAGUGUAAUCCGUUUCAUACGAUUCUGUGAUUCAAUAUAUGAGACGAAUAGAGUAAACAAACAAUCAGAUACUUUAUUAAUUAAGUAAAGGAUUCGAUACAACUUAUGAGUUUGCAUAUAAGCUAUUACAAGUAAUAUAAUUGAUCCCUAGACUAUCCGAAACUAUCACCACCCAUCAUCCCGGCCUUGAGUCUCUCGCGCCUAAGCCAAGUCCUUCCCACGAUCACCAUUGGUUCCUGAAAGUCAUAGAGCCAUAAGUAAUCUCAUUUACUUAGUCAUAUGCAAGUCCAUGCAAUGCUCCAUAGUCCUUACACUACUCGGAUCCGCGGAGAGGAUUUGGAGAGGGGAAGAUCGCGCAUAAGUCCAGCCGAUUCUCGGUAGGUCAAUUAAGACCCUCCGGUCCUCCACCGAGCCGCGUCCCCGCCCUAGCCGAUCCCUUGCCCGGACUGAGUCUUGUGUAGGUUGCACAUGACCCGAUUCUACCCAGCCC
rnacentral:lncRNA from 1 species